UCCUGUUUCCGUCAUUCCUUAAAUACCAACCUUUUGUCACCAGCUUUUAGUCCUUAGGCUGCAGGCUUGAAUACCUGUCAUAAAGGCCUGAGUAGAAAAAGAAUCCUAUACUUUCUGGAAAUUCUCAUAUGGCUGAACAUACUGGAGGGUUCAGGAGGUCCCCCUGCACUCAGGAUUCUGUUCGCUUAAACUGUUUGGACACCAACCACGUGAAAAGGAACUCAUCCAAGAAUGGAUUAUAGCCAACAACUCUGACAUGAAGACACAGGAGCGGCAACAUUUCAGGACUUCUUGGGUGGAAGAAAGUUGGCAGAGAGAAAGUCCAUAGUUAAUGAAGUUACCGUUGCCUCCAGGAUUAAGGGGACAUGUUUCCUCUAAUAAAUCAAAGAUCAUCAGAUACUUCUUAAAAAGGACAUUUUUCUAUGCAUAAGAGGGAGCUGCUUAUUCCAUGAUUCUCAAGACAGCUUCAUCCAGACACUGGCCAUGGUGCUGAAAUGAUGCUGAAUCGCAAUGCAAACAUAGUUUUUGAAGUUUUUCAUGGAAGCCCUUAAAAAAACCAAACAUAUGGAUCACCACCGUUGAAAGGAAGCACUGCCUCCCUCUGGUGCUCAACCGUCUCCACGUAACAGAAGACACGUAUUUUGUAAUUUACUGAGACACUGCACUCUGCAAAAUCGGGCCCAAAGACAGACCUCAAACUGGACUAGCAGCUCUGCUCCUGAAACAACAUACCUGGGCUAUAUUUGGAAAUGUCUGUGUAGACAAAACAACGUGCGCUGGGAGGGGCGGGUGCAUGGAGGAGCGCAGCAGGCAUUAUCUGGUUUCACUGUCUACAGUGAUCAUAUUAACUGAAUAAUUGCCCAUUAUUUGCUUUGUAUCCUAGAGCCCAAGGCCACUGUAUUUACUUUCAAAGUGAAAUGAAGAACAGAGGAUAAGUCAGCUCCCCUAUGACUUUUCCCUCCUCCGUCCCUGCUCCAGCAUUGGCUUUUAGCUUUCCAAAUUGAGAAGCUAUGCCUAGGCCCUAAAUUGAAUUUCACGACUUCAUUUGUGAUAGAAUUAUGUGCGGCUCUGCACCCUUUAAGCAGAGCAUUGUAAACAGCAUGCAGCCAGAGUGUGCGUGUGCACACACACGCGUACGCGUGAGCAGGCAUGGUUGGGCAGGAGUGAACCCAACAGAUCUGGCUGGGAAGCCCUAAGAGCAUCGAUGGUGACUGCAGUGGUUUUGGCCUGGAACAAAUAAUUUUGAGAUGUUCAAUGUCAGGUAAAUCUGGUAGAUUUUCGAUUUCACUUGAAACGAUUUCUGCACCUUGCCACUCAAAUAUUCCUCAAAUGUGUGCCUUUAUUUUCAUCCCACUUCCAAAGUUCUGGAAUAGGUCCCAACAUCGGUAAUGUUGAGUAUCAUAGCUGUCUUCAAUCUGGUUUCCAAUUUCCUCAAUCCAGUCCACCGUCUACAUUGCUUCCAGAGUGGUCUUCUCAAACAAAACUCUGGCCAUGCCUUUCUCCUGCAUGAAAACCCUCCAAGGGCAUCCUAUUACCAACAGGAAAAAAAUCUGAGAUUCUCUGAGUCCUAGCCUUUUCUCACAUUGCUACCUUACCCUGUUCUUCUCUGACUUACUUUCUUUUUGAGUAGCACCAAGCCACUAGUACAUCGCCCAGAUAUGCGCCCCAUUCUGUUCCAUAUUUCAUAGCAUACCACAUAUGCCUUCUGCUUCAAAUUUUCUAUAAUGUAGUAAAUCAAUAACUCUCCCCUUUCUUAACCUCUCCAUUAGAAAUGAACUUAGUGGUCAGUUAGGUCAGGAAAUAUUUUCUGAUCCUGGAGCUAUCAUUUCUGUGCUUCCAUAGGAUACUGUCCACGAUUUAUCAUAGCAUCAAAUACAUUGGAAUAAAAUUAACAAAUAUAUAUCUUGGGGCAUCUGUCUGGCUCAGUGGUUGAGCAUCUGCCUUCGGCUCAUGUCAUCAUUUCAGGGUCCUGGCAUCGAGUCCCGCAUCGGGCUCC